rnacentral:misc_RNA from 1 species
GAUGAAGAACGUAGCGAAAUGCGAUAAGUAAUGUGAAUUGCAGAAUUCAGUGAAUCAUCGAAUCUUUGAACGCACAUUGCGCCCCUUGGUAUUCCGAGGGGCAUGCCUGUUCGAGCGUCAUUUCAACCCUUAAGCCUCUGUUGCUUAGCGUUGGGAGCCUACCUACCCGGUAGAUCCUCAAAGUUAGCUGGCAGGGUCGAGGUUCGCCCUAAGCGUAGUAGUUCUUUCUCGCUUCUGCGGCUGCCUAGGCCAUCGCCACAAGCCUUUUAAACUUCAAUGGUUGACCUCGGAUCAGGUAGGAAUACCCGCUGAACUUAAGCAUAUCAAUAAGCGGAGGA